rnacentral:lncRNA from 1 species
UGGAGAACUUGUUUUGAAAAUUUUUGGAUGGCUCAAAUGGUUGAACAAAAGGUAUGCUUGGAGAUAAGCAUCAGUUAAAUAGAGGAAAAUUGAUAUUAUGCCCAAUUAACAUAUUUGUGUGCUCAAUUUUGAUGAAUUUUAGAUAUGAUGCCACUGAUUUUGAGUUCAUUGCUUUUUUUUUUCUUUUUUUUUUGGUCAAGGUGGGAUACAAAUAUGAAAAUAUCGAGAAG